AGCACUACAGUGAAACCGCGCCUCUCCGCCUUCGGCUCCUCCUCUUCCUCUUCCCCUUCCUCUUCUCGCGGCCGCUGCCUCAGAGGCCUCACGGUCAGGCUCCGUAGCCCAGCGCCAUAGCAGCCUUCAAACAAGCGGGGUUCUCCCCCGCGGCCCUGCUUCAGUCUUCUCUAUGCGGGGUCGAUGGACAAGAUGGCUGCGGCGGGGCCGGGAGGCAGCACCAAGAGAUAAUGGGAUUUGUCAUGCCAGUACUAAACUGAGUCUAAGCUUCAACCUUUUAUGCAGAAUUGUUAGUUGAAAAAGGAAGCUGCUGCUCUACCAAAAGCAGGUAUCUAUGAAGUGCUGGACUGGGAGGCUGUGUGCAUCACUGAAGGAAUUAACUCAGACUUCAAAACCUCUACAGACUGCAAACUCAAAUAUAUUUUAAUGUAUUUUGCUUAGCAACAAUAAAACAGUGAGUGACUUUUCCCAGA